UGCAGCUUCACACCUGCUUGUGUGUCUUGCAAAAAAGCAAGCUACCUGGUACCUCUCUACUCUGCUUUAGCAGGCGUUUGCAGAGGAAGCCAAGGGGUACAUGAUACUGGUGUAUUUGUUGGGUUCCUCUUGGCGUGUCGAACAAAAAUUGGCGUUCAGCACUGCUAUUUAAAGAUGGUUUGAUCAGUACUACAGAAAACCCAUAGAUUAUUGUAGGUAUCUAAGAAUGAUGAUGAUUACACUCGGAGCAAGCCUUGUUGCGGCGCUGC